rnacentral:lncRNA from 1 species
UAAAAAAAAGAGUUUCUUAUUGUUUAAAGAAUGUUUAAGCUUUGAAAUUACAUAAUAAUCAUCUAAUACUUCAUGGAUCUCUUGUGAUAACAAAACUUAAGCGAAUUAAAAGACAAAACACAGAGAAAACAAAUAAAAAAAACAAAUUAUAUAGCUCCCUUGAGUUUAUUAACCAGAGAGGUCAUGAGAAAUGUCCAUGAGACAAGCGUGGAACAAGAUGGAUGGAUUUUGGUGUCAUGUGUCACGGCUCAUGAGAGUAAUCUGAUCUGAUCUGAUGGGCAACAUUGAAAGUAAGUUGUAACUUCCAUGUUGUGUCAGGUUUCGACCUUCUUUUUAACCAGAACCAGCUUCUAAUUUUACCGUAAUUUGGGCCAAAGCUUUUGCCACAGUUUGUUGGUUUCCAGUGCCCCUCGUUACAUGUGUAUGGUGAAAUGAUUAAAGUCUCAUGGAAAAUACAUGUGACAACCAGUAAAAUGACAAAUCUAUAUUUCAGAAAAGCAAAAUAAUUCUCUCUGCAAAAGUAGAAGCAUCUCAUCUCAUCACAUCCAUGGUGAAAAAAACCCUAAACCAUCCACAUGAAGGAGAAGAACGAGAGAAAGAAGAAGAUAAAGUACCUUUUCUGAUCAGAAACAUCUGCCUCCAUACUUUCUAAAUUACGGUGCUGCCCCUGUGGAAUAAUAUUACAAAUACUCCAACAUGACCAUAACAUCCCUAUCUAGCUAGUUCUAGCUAAAAUCCUUGAAAUGAAAAUAAAACAUUACACAAAAGCUUUGAAACUAUCUGCAAAAUUAAUGAGGAAGAAGAAAUAGAACAAGAUGAAGAGACACAGCCAUGGACAUGGGUUU